rnacentral:SRP_RNA from 2 species
UUGGGGAAAGCGCGAUAAAUAUCUAUUCGUGUAAUCUGUCAGGUCCGAAAGGAAGCAGCAGGCAUGAGUGUGGUAUUGUAUUGCGCUUUUCCCGUAUGU